AUGGUGCUGAGUAUAGUUGAAGGCAAUGAGUCAACAGAAGGCAUCAAUGAGACCUUGUUAGUUUUGAUACCCAAGGUAAAAGAUCCAAACCAGCUAACUCAAUUCCGCCCUAUUAGUCUUUGCAAUGUCCUCUAUAAAAUUGCUUCGAAAGUGAUCUUGAAUAGGCUUAAAGUGGUACUCCCUGAUAUUAUAUCUCCGGAGCAGUCCGCCUUUGUUCCGGGAAGGUUGAUCACCGACAAUAUAAUUGCAGCCUAUGAAUGUCUACACUUCAUGAAGAGAAAUAAGGCCAAAAAGAGGUGGGUGAUGAAAGCGUAUGAUAGGGUGGAGUGGGAAUAUCUCCGCGCUAUCAUGAUUAAGCUUGGCUUGACACAGAGGUGGGUGGAUAUUGUUAUGGGCAUGGUUACAUCUGUGAAAUUUUCGGUGAUGUUUAAUGGUAAGAAAUUGGAGCAGUUCAUUCCUUCAUGA
rnacentral:rRNA from 1 species